rnacentral:rRNA from 1 species
UACAGAGGUCUCAAGCGUUGUUCGGAUUCAUUGGGCGUAAAGGGUGCGUAGGCGGGCAGGUAAGUCCGUGGUGAAAUCUCUGAGCUUAACUCAGAAACUGCCAUGGAUACUAUUUGUCUUGAAUGUUGUGGAGGUAAGCGGAAUAUGUCAUGUAGCGGUGAAAUGCUUAGAUAUGACAUAGAACACCAAUUGCGAAGGCAGCUUACUACACAAAUAUUGACGCUGAGGCACGAAAGCGUGGGGAUCAAACAGG